AGUUUGGUGUGUGCUCGCAUUGGUGCCUCGCGUGCUGCUUUCCACAUAGCAGGUCUAACGACUGCUCACAACACCUUGCUCCUUUGGAGGCCAGUGUGUAACGGCUGACUAACAAAUUGCAACCUACCCAGUAAUGGGGGAUAACUAUCCAAAAGGAUAACUCAUACCGCAUACGCUUUAAGAAGGAAAGUGGGGGCUCUUCUGACCUCACGUUAUUCAAGCGGCCCAUACCUGAUUAUCUAAUUGGUGGGGUAAAAGCCCUCCAAUGCGACGAUCAUUAUCCGGUCUGAGAGGAUGAUCCGCCACACUGGGACUGAUACACAGCCCGCACCCCAACUGGAGGCACCACUGGGGAAUUUUGUACCAUGGGCAGCAUGCCUGAUCCAGCCAUGCCGCUUGUCUGAACAAAGCCUUCCGGUUGUAAACGACUUUUGUUACGGAAGAAAAGGAUAGUGCUAAUACCAUUAUCUGCUGACUGUACCUAUACAAUAAGCACCCGCUAACUACUUGCCAGCAUCCGCGGUAAUACCUAGGGUGCAAGCGUUAAUCGCAAUUACUGGACGUAAAGCGAGCGCACACGGUUACUUAAGCACGAUGUGAAAUCCCCGGGUCUAGCCUGUGGACUGCAUUCUGCACUGGGUAGCUAGAGUAGGUCGUAGGGGGGGUAGAAUUACACGAGUAGCAGAGAAAUGUGUCGAGAGGAGAGGAAUACCGAUGUCGAAGGCAGCCCCGUGGGAUAAUACGGACGUUCAUGCUCGAAAGCGUGGGUAGCAAACAGGAUCAGAUACGUCGCUAGUCCACGCCUUAAAGGAUGUGGAUUAGCUGCAGGGCAACUCGAGCGCUGAGUAGGGUAGCUAACGAGUGAAAUGGACCGCGCGGGGAGUGCGGUCGCAAGACUCAAACUCAAAGGAACAGACGGGGACCGGCACAAGCGGUGGAUGAAGUGGAUGAAUUUGAGGCAACGCGAAGAACCAUACACGGUCGCGACAUGUACGGAAUCUUUCAGAGACAGAAGAGCGCCUUCGGGAGCCGUAACACAGGUGAUGCAAGGCAGUGGUCAGCUCGAGUCGAGAGAAGCAGGGACAAGUCCUGCAACGAGCGCAACCACACACCUUGGGGCCCAUCAGCACAUGGGGCAACAUAACGAGACGGCUGGUGACAAACCGGCCGAAGGUGGGGACGAUGACAAGUCCUCACGGCCACCAUGACCAGCGGCACACACCUCACACAACGGUGGGUACAAAGGGUAGCCACGCGGAGAGGCGGAGCCAAUGUCAGAAAACGCGAUCGCAGUCCGGAGGCACAUGCGCAACGCAGAGGCAUGAAGUCGGAACCGGAGGCACUCGCAGGCCAGCAGAUGGGGGCGAGCACGGCCCACAGUCAUGCACACACCGCCCGUC
rnacentral:rRNA from 1 species